AGGUAGUUCUUCGAUGAUUAACGUAUGUUCGGCCUCUAAAGUUGUUAGAGCUGCAUUUACAGAGUCCUAUUCAGUUCUGGCGAUUUGUUCUAGUUAUUUAUUCUGCGUCGUUGCUUCCGCUUCUACACUUAAGUUUGCAGUAUCAAAUAACUGUCUAAACCACGGUGAUUCUGUUGUUAUGAAUGCCUGUGUUUUGAAUGUUUGUGAUUUACUUGUGUGUUUCAGCGAGGUCUGACUUCUGAGUGUAUUUUGAUCCUAACUGUGGAGCGUAAAUCAACUAAAUGUCUUCAGACAUCUGAACUGGCUAUUAUUUCUUCCUCGCAAACUGCGUCUGAGUCUAUGCGAACGUCUGCUUUUAUAUCGCUUAGAUUACUCGCAAGUCGCAACCGACAAAUUUUCAUCCUCUGUUGAUGAAAGUGACUUUAACCACUCUUCAAGGUUCUAAAUUGUGAAACAAUGAAGAAAAAUAAAGACAUUGAAGAAGCA